rnacentral:lncRNA from 1 species
AGCAACAUGUGGACCAAUGAACCAUGAACUGCAGCACCCCAUGCUUGGGACUCAGCACCCUACCACACUGCCUGACCCUCUCCAAUCCAUUAGAAGCAAGCUGCUUCUCACUGCUCCAACUCUUAACAGGCCUAUUAAAUGUGAUUUUGGUCCUCUUGGUUUCUCUGAUGCUGCUGGGGCUCCCAUUUGCCUGAAGGGGCAUUCCUGUGAGUCAGCAUCCUCUCUAAUCAACAUGUUGCAGAAAAGUGUUUACACACAACAUCCAGAGAAGAGGUGGGAUGCCUACCACAGCAUGGCAUGCCUAGCGGUGCCAUGUCCGCAGCCGGGAUCUGAACUGGCGAACCCUGGGUCUCUGAGAAGUGGAACAUGCGAACUUAACCACUGCACCACCGGGACUAUAAUUGUCUGGAGCAGAAGAGAAAAGAUUGAUGUCUGGAUGAGAACAAGAGAACUGAGAAGAUUAAAUUAUUUCAGUAUGAAUCAAAUCACUCAUCUCUUUUCUGCUUAUUGGCUAGAUCACAAAGACGGUUUUACCGACUCUGACUUUUUAUGUCACUGGCCAUGUGGAAUCCUUACAUGCUGCUAGGUCCCCUGUUCUCAUAUUUCAUAGAAGUUCAAAGUAAGAUGAUAUAUCGCAAUUUGCAUUUAUCCUAGAGUUUGUAUAGGUGUUGCAUUUUAGUCUACUAUUCGGGAAC